rnacentral:rRNA from 1 species
GACGAACGCUGGCGGCGUGCCUAAUACAUGCAAGUCGAGCGCUGAAGCCUGGUACUUGUGCCAACUGGGUGAGCAGCGCACGGGUGAGUAACGCGUGGGGAAUCUGCCUUUGAGCGGGGGACAACAUGUGGAAACGAAUGCUAAUACCGCAUAAAAUCUUUAAACACAAGGUUUAAGUUUGAAAGAUGCAAUUGCAUCACUCAAAGAUGAUCCCGCGUCGUAUUAGCUAGUUGGUGAGGUAAAGGCUCACCAAGGCGAUGAUACAGAGCCGAACUGAGAGGGUGGUCGGCCAGACUGGGACUGGGACCCGGCCCAAGGGGAUUGGGGAGGGAGCAGGAGGGAAUCGUCGGGAAUGGACGGAAAUCUGACCGAGCAACGCCGGGGGAGGGGAGAAGGUUGUCGGGUCGGAAAACUCGGUUGGUAGGGAAGAAAGUUGUUGGGAGUGGAAAGCGCAUGGAGUGACGGUAACUAGUAAGAAAGCGACGGCUAACUACGUG